rfam:Schistosoma mansoni strain Puerto Rico chromosome 4, complete genome
AUCCAGUUGACGAGUCCCAAAUAGGACGAAACGCGCAUCCUGGAU